GUAAUGCUCUCCAUUAUUUAUAUGCCAAUGAUAACAUCCAACAUUGUUUAAUUUUAACAGAAACAGGAAACAUGACUUUGGUUCUGAUAAUGUUUUCAUGGGAGGCGGAGGAAGAAAUACAAUGAGUAGACAAAUUUUUUGGUACCAAGUGAGAUGCUAGCCAUGAUUUUUUCCUCUGAUGAGAAUGGUGCUUUAUACCUUUACAUGCCAACUAAUUGGAAAAAUAUUCCUACAAUACUGUAUCUAGAUUUGUUAUAAGAGAACUGGAAAUGAUGAGGAUCAGUGAGAGACCAUGGGCAUUAUUGGGAAUGCAUAUUAUAGUGGAUAAGGGCAAACUAGAGGCAAGUGGCUUGGGUGAGAAUCUGGCUUUUAGCUCUUCUGGCUGUUGGACCUCAUAAGUGCUUUAAGCCUCAGUUUUCUCAUCUGCAAAAUGGGGAUGAUAAUAGGAGUCCUAGUUCCUAAGUUUGCAGCAAAGAUUUUAAAAAGGGAGUACAAGUAAAGCUCUUAGAUCAAGGCCACAUAUGCAAAUAUCUUCUGAAGCCAAAGUACACAAACCCAAGAGCAUUGAAUCAAAAGGUGUGUGAAUCUCUGAGAUGGGAAUAAUGGGAACAGAAGAAGCUAUAUAAUAAGAUGUUAUGAUCAGAAAUAAAAUGAGACAUGUUUUGACACUUAAUGACAUUCUAAAAAAUUAGGUGGCAAGGAGAUGCACACAUGUGUCUGCAGAAAAUGUGGUGAGGAGGUGGGGGGAGGGUUGGGCAAGGGAGAUCAAUCUCACAGCUUUCAAUUAGCAGCCCGUGGGUGGGAGAGAAGACUGAAGUUCACAGGGAAGGAACUGGCUGAUAUUAUUAUUAUUUUUUGAUGCAGCAUUCCAGAAAACAUAAUCAAUGGCAUCCGUCCAGUUCCCAUUUAGUAACCAAAGAAGUAGCUGCAGCUGUUUUUUGUGCCUGGUGGUGCCAGUUUGAUAGUGUAUAAUCAUAUUUGCAUAAAGAUAAAAAGGAAGGUGUUAUAGAACACAGUUAAGCCUAUGGUUUCACCAUGAAUUAAAGGUAAUUUCAGACUAAUUAGGUAUAAUUUGUUAAGGAAUUCUUCCCAGCCAUGAUGACUCUGAUUUUGUAAUUACAGGACAAUGCUUACUGUGGCUUUCAAGGCAGGGGAAGCACACCCGAGGGGGUCGUGUCCCACACUAGGAGGGUCUAAUGGUGCCGCAAAAGACAGGUGUUUUGUCAGAUUUCAGCCACACACUUUCACACCUGCAACGCAUUAGCCACAGCAGCAACAUUAAUGAAGGCCAGGUGCCUGUUUUCUAGCUCAAAUGAGAAACUGGCAGGAAGUUUGCUGUUUGCUACCUGAGGGCUACCUCGGUCUCUGAAAGCCGGCCUUCUGGGUGACGGAGACGCUGAGCAGGGUGGUCCUUGGUGGAAAGUAGUGUGUCCUGUGUUUGAGAGUGGCUGAAGAUGUGGAGAAGGAAAUGGCAACACACUCCAGUAUUCUUGCCUAGAGAAUUCCAUGGACAGAAGAGCCUGGUGGGUUGCUGUCCAUGGGGUCGCACAGAGUUGGACACUACUGAAGUGACUUAGCGUGCAUGCAUGCGUGAAGAUGUGAUAAACCACUUCCCAGUACCAAAAUAAAGGGAGCCGGAAUGGAAAAACCAGGCCUAAUAUGCUAUUGAAUUUCACAUGAUUAUUUCAACUUUCUCUUUGUGAAUUAUCUGAAAAUUGAAAAGAAUUUUUAAGUAGAAAAAACUUUAAUUUGUAUUCCAUUUAUGUUCCAUUUUAACAUGGCAUCAUUUUGAUGAAUUUCCCCAUCCAGAUGGAGUCAUUCAUUUCUAGGAAAGAGAAAGGAUGGAUUGGGCUCAUGCUCAGUCAUCCAUUCAUUAUUUUUUCCCUUAUAACACAAAACCAAA